GGAUCCCAGCGCCCUGUGCCCGGCGCUGCACAGACACACAGGACUGGACAGUCUGACUCCUGCACCCGGAGCCCUGGGGCGAGUCAGUCAGAUCACUGGCAGCAGGAGUGUGUGUCUCUUAUAACGCGGGGGCAUGCAAAUGAGGGAGACAGUUUCCUGUUUAAAUCUGUGCCUCUCUCUGCCCAGGCUGCACCAGGAGACACAAUCCGCAGCCCCUGGGUCUGUGCAGUGACCAGCCAGUCCCCUGAGAACUUUCCCCUCCAGCACCAGGGAAAAUGGGGUUUUUACUCCUGUUCAUUUUCGCUGUAGCAGCUUUGGAAGGUGUCCGGUCCCAGGUGCUGGUGGAGUCCGGAGGGGAUGUGAAAAAGCCCGGAGACUCUCUCCGCCUCUUCUGCAAAGCUUCCGGCUUCACCUUCAGCAGUGCCUACAUGCACUGGGUCCGUCAGGCUCCUGGCAAGGGACCAGAAUGGGUCGCUUAUAUAAACCGUGGUGGGGAUACUAUACUCUACCUUGAUUCCGUCAAAGGCCGAUUCACCAUCUCCAGGGAUAAUUCCAAGAGUGAGCUGUAUCUGCAAAUGACCGGCCUGAAGCCCGAGGACACCGCUCGCUAUUACUGUGCGAGAGACACAGUGAAACGAAACUGA